CGGCCGGUGUUGACACUUCCGGGUGGGACCACAGUGAGGCGGCGGGGCAGGGGCUGGCACCUCCCGCAGCAGCCAUGGCGUAUACGGGCCUCACCGUGCCUCUCAUCGUGAUGAGCGUGUUCUGGGGCUUCGUCGGCUUCCUGGUGCCCUGGUUCAUCCCUAAGGGUCCCAACCGGGGAGUUAUCAUCACCAUGUUGGUGACCUGUUCCGUUUGCUGCUAUCUCUUUUGGCUGAUUGCAAUUCUGGCCCAACUCAACCCUCUCUUUGGACCGCAGUUGAAAAAUGAAACCAUCUGGUACCUCAAGCAUCAUUGGCCUUGAGUAAGAAGACCUGCUCGCCAGUGCUCAGUCAUUGAGAACCCAUUCGAUGGCUUCUUUCUCCUCUUCCUUGAAUCCAGUUGAGCCACUUAUGUCACUAGUGUCUGCCUGUCUACUCUGUUCCUCUGUCGGGGACCCUACUAUCUGACCCAGUCACUGCGGCUCUGAAUUACUGCAGUGGCUCCUCAUCACGUCUGCCUGCCUCUACACUCAAGGUCACGAAGAGAACUCCUUUAGAUGCAAAAUCACCUCCAUACCCAGACCACCUUCCUUGACUCGCCCAAUUUGGCUGUCAGCUGCCUUAAACGUUCCCACCACAUUUGAAUAUCUUAUUCUACAAUGCAGUAUUUUUUCCUGUCACCUUUUUUACACUUUGAUGAAUGAUGUGCCUAUUGAAUCUAAACUGUGCUGCCUCUAUAAAAUGUUUAUGUACUGUUUGGAGAUAGAAAAUGCUGUUCUUUUGAGAAAUAACAUUACUCUCUCCUUGGAAACUGUGGAUCUGAAGAUGGCUCCUGCCUGCUCACAACGUGAGAAUCAGUGAAGUGUUUAAAAACUGUUACAUGACAGUAAGACUCCAGUGGGGCAGUCAGUAGGAGAACAUGUUCAGAGGGAAAAAUCUGUCCCACCAGAAUUAUACCAAAGUAUAUUUUCGGGAUGAAUUUCUUAUUUCUGCCCUCCUUUGGAAUAAAUUAUUUUUCUGCUCUCUAUGGAAAUCUG